CCCAGACUGACCGCUCCGAGCAGGAACCCUGGAAAGGAGGAAGCAUCCGCUGUUGUGCAGGAGAGGAGCCCAGAGGCCCUGAAAUGUCGCAUGACUCACUCAAGGUCAUCCUGCCAAAGCAGAGGUUUGUGACCACUUCACCCCACGGAGAAGGUCAGAAGUGAUGCUAAGUCAGUAAAGACCAUGUGACUUCCAUUUUGGUGCCUGGAACACUCUCUCUUGGAGCCCCGAGCCACAUGUGAGAGCUGAGAAGAACCACUAGCUGAGGCUGCCAUGUUGUGAGGAAGCCCAAGCCACACGGAGAUGUCAUGUCUGGGCACCAGUCCCCCCUGAGCCCAGCCAUCUGACCGGCCAGCCAUUGGAGGUUUCCCAGCAGAGGCCCCAGAUGCUGUGGAGCAGGAACAAGUCAUCCCUGUUAUGCUCUGUCCGAACCCCCGGGCCACAGAAACUGGGGACAGAGUUUGUGCGGCUAAGUCGUCAGGUGAUCUGCAGUAGACAGGGGCCCAGCCGCGCCAGCCCGGACACGCCAUGCAGUCAUCUCAGGGGUCCCCCACUGAGCGUCUUUUACCCCUUGACCCCCGGGCAGCUGGCUCCACUCUCAGUGCAAAGCAUGGCUCCAAGGGAAGGUACGAGACCGGGGAGCCCUGCCUCUCUCGGGAGUGCUAUCUCCUCAGCUUCCUCUGCCCACUCCCUUCCCAGAGAUGAGCUCCUCAACACCGUGUCUGCCUCAGGGCCUCUUGUACAUGAUCCCCGCCCCACCUCUUCCUAGCUCUGAGGUCUUGGGCAAGUUACCUAACUCGGUGUUUUCAGUCUGGAAGACAGGGUUGAUAAAUACCUGUGCCGGAGGGUUACUGUCAGAGCCGUGCCUCGCACUCCGAGGUCCAUUACCGUGAUCUGGGGACCCACCCUCUUCCUGGCCCCCUGUGCCAUGCUCACACACACAGGAUUCU